GGGCCCAAUCCCAGGACCCUGAGAUCAUGACCUGAGCCAGACACUUAACUGGCUGAGCCACCCAGGCACUCCCUACAUAAACUUCUUAAUCUGUCUUGUCCAUAUCCACUGCCUUUCAGUAAUUUAUCAUUUCUGGGCUGGAGCACUGCAUAGCUUCUUAACUAGCCUCCGUCUUCAUUCUUUACAUCCUCCACACUAUUGCUAGAUUUGUUUCUAAAAUACUUAGUACUGUACCACUAACUUGGUUAAACCAUCACUUAGCUAUCUUUGUCUUUAGCAGCAUUCCCCAAAGUUUCAUGUGUGAACCCUUGGUAUUGAGACAAUUUUAGGUGGUAGAUGGGCAAAUAUUUUUAAUUUUAAAAUUU